rnacentral:rRNA from 1 species
AUUGAACGCUGGCGGCAGGCCUAACACAUGCAAGUCGAACGAGUGGCGGACGGGUGAGUAAUGUCUGGGAAACUGCCUGAUGGAGGGGGAUAACUACUGGAAACGGUACCUAAUCCUCCAUACCAUAUGAUGUGCCCAGAUGGGAUUAGCUGGUUGGUGGGGUAACGGCGCACCAAGGCGACGAUCCCUAGCUGUUCUGGGAGGAUGACCAGCCACACUGGAACUGAGACACGGUCCAGCCUCCUACGGGAGGGAGCAGUGGGGAAUAUUGCACAAUGGGCGCAAGCCUGAUGCAGCCAUGCCGCGUGUAUGAAGAAGGCCUUCGGGUUGUAAAGUACUUUCAGCGGGGAGGCGUUACCCGCAGAAGAAGCACCGGCUAACUCCGUGCCAGCAGCCGCGGUAAUAC